rnacentral:rRNA from 1 species
GACGAACGCUGGCGGCGUGCCUAAUACAUGCAAGUCGAACGCUUCUUUCCUCCCGAGUGCUUGCACUCAAUUGGAAAGAGGAGUGGCGGACGGGCGAGUAACACGUGGGUAACCUACCCAUCAGAGGGGGAUGACACUUGGAAACAGGUGCUAAUACCGCAUAACAGUUUAUGCCGCAUGGCAUAAGAGUGAAAGGCGCUUUCGGGUGUCGCUGAUGGAUGGACCCGCGGUGCAUUAGCUAGUUGGUGAGGUAACGGCUCACCAAGGCCACGAUGCAUAGCCGACCUGAGAGGGUGAUCGGCCACACUGGGACUGAGACACGGCCCAGACUCCUACGGGAGGCAGCAGUAGGGAAUCUUCGGCAAUGGACGAAAGUCUGACCGAGCAACGCCGCGUGAGUGAAGAAGGUUUUCGGAUCGUAAAACUCUGUUGUUAGAGAAGAACAAGGACGUUAGUAACUGAACGUCCCCUGACGGUAUCUAACCAGAAAGCCACGGCUAACUACGUG